UGGGGAAUAUUGCACAAUGGGCGCAAGCCUGAUGCAGCCAUGCCGCGUGUGUGAAGAAGGCCUUCGGGUUGUAAAGCACUUUCAGCGAGGAGGAAGGGUAGUGUGUUAAUAGCACAUUGCAUUGACGUUACUCGCAGAAGAAGCACCGGCUAACUCCGUGCCAGCAGCCGCGGUAAUACGGAGGGUGCAAGCGUUAAUCGGAAUUACUGGGCGUAAAGCGCACGCAGGCGGUUUGUUAAGUCAGAUGUGAAAUCCCCGCGCUUAACGUGGGAACUGCAUUUGAAACUGGCAAGCUAGAGUCUUGUAGAGGGGGGUAGAAUUCCAGGUGUAGCGGUGAAAUGCGUAGAGAUCUGGAGGAAUACCGGUGGCGAAGGCGGCCCCCCUGGACAAAGACUGACGCUCAGGUGCGA
rnacentral:rRNA from 1 species